rnacentral:rRNA from 1 species
UGGCUCAGAUUGAACGCUGGCGGCAGGCUUAACACAUGCAAGUCGAACGAUGAAACUCUAGCUUGCUAGAGAAGAUUAGUGGCGGACGGGUGAGUAACAUUUAGGAAUCUGCCUAGUAGUGGGGGAUAGCUCGGGGAAACUCGAAUUAAUACCGCAUACGACCUACGGGUGAAAGGGGGCGCAAGCUCUUGCUAUUAGAUGAGCCUAAAUCAGAUUAGCUAGUUGGUGGGGUAAAGGCCCACCAAGGCGACGAUCUGUAACUGGUCUGAGAGGAUGAUCAGUCACACCGGAACUGAGACACGGUCCGGACUCCUACGGGAGGCAGCAGUGGGGAAUAUUGGACAAUGGGGGCAACCCUGAUCCAGCCAUGCCGCGUGUGUGAAGAAGGCCUUUUGGUUGUAAAGCACUUUAAGCAGGGAGGAGAGGCUAAUGGUUAAUACCCAUUAGAUUAGACGUUACCUGCAGAAUAAGCACCGGCUAACUCUGUGCCAGCAGCCGCGGUAAUACAGAGGGUGCGAGCGUUAAUCGGAAUUACUGGGNCGUAAAGCGAGUGUAGGUGGCUCAUUAAGUCACAUGUGAAAUCCCCGGGCUUAACCUGGGAACUGCAUGUGAUACUGGUGGUGCUAGAAUAUGUGAGAGGGAAGUAGAAUUCCAGGUGUAGCGGUGAAAUGCGUAGAGAUCUGGAGGAAUACCGAUGGCGAAGGCAGCUUCCUGGCAUAAUAUUGACACUGAGAUUCGAAAGCGUGGGUAGCAAACAGGAUUAGAUACCCUGGUAGUCCACGCCGUAAACGAUGUCUACUAGCCGUUGGGGUCCUUGAGACUUUAGUGGCGCAGUUAACGCGAUAAGUAGACCGCCUGGGGAGUACGGCCGCAAGGUUAAAACUCAAAUGAAUUGACGGGGGCCCGCACAAGCGGUGGAGCAUGUGGUUUAAUUCGAUGCAACGCGAAGAACCUUACCUGGUCUUGACAUAGUGAGAAUCCUGCAGAGAUGCGGGAGUGCCUUCGGGAAUUCACAUACAGGUGCUGCAUGGCUGUCGUCAGCUCGUGUCGUGAGAUGUUGGGUUAAGUCCCGCAACGAGCGCAACCCUUUUCCUUAUUUGCCAGCGGGUUAAGCCGGGAACUUUAAGGAUACUGCCAGUGACAAACUGGAGGAAGGCGGGGACGACGUCAAGUCAUCAUGGCCCUUACGACCAGGGCUACACACGUGCUACAAUGGUAGGUACAGAGGGUUGCUACACAGCGAUGUGAUGCUAAUCUCAAAAAGCCUAUCGUAGUCCGGAUUGGAGUCUGCAACUCGACUCCAUGAAGUCGGAAUCGCUAGUAAUCGCRGAUCAGAAUGCYGCGGUGAAUACGUUCCCGGGCCUUGUACACACCGCCCGUCACACCAUGGGAGUCUAUUGCACCAGAAGUAGGUAGCCUAACGAAAGAGGGCGCUUACCACGGUGUGGUCGAUGACUGGGGUGAAGUCGUAAC